UACGUAGGUGGCAAGCGUUGUCCGGAUUUACUGGGCGUAAAGGGCGUGCAGGCGGCUUGUUAAGUGCAGGGUGAAAGCUCCCGGCUCAACUGGGAGAGGUCCUUGCAUACUGGCGAGCUCGAGGGAGGCAGAGGAAAGUGGAAUUCCCGGUGUAGUGGUGAUAUGCGUAGAUAUCGGGAGGAACACCUGUGGCGAAGGCGGCUUUCUGGGCCUUACCUGACGCUGAGACGCGAAAGCGUGGGGAGCAAACAGG
rnacentral:rRNA from 1 species